UGAGUGAUAACGAGGAGGCUUGCCUCCGAAGUGAGUGAUACCCUGCUUCCAGGAAAAGCCACUAAGCUUCAGCUGCACACGACCGUACCGCAAACCGACACUGGUGCGCGAGAUGAGUAUUCUAAGGCGCUUGAGAGAACUCUGGAGAAGGAACUCGGCAAAUUGACACCGUAACUUCGGAAGAAGGUGUGCCUUUAGUAGGUGAAGUCGUACAGACGGAGCCCAAUGAGGCCGCAGAGAAUCGGUGGCUGCGACUGUUUAUUAAAAACACAGCACUCUGCAAAGACGAAAGUCGACGUAUAGGGUGUGACGCCUGCCCGGUGCUGGAAGAUUAAAUGAUGGGGUGCAAGCUCUUGAUUGAAGUCCCAGUAAACGGCGGCCGUAACAAUAACGGUCCUAAGGUAGCGAAAUUCCUUGUCGGGUAAGUUCCGACCUGCACGAAUGGCGUAACGAUGGCCACGCUGUCUCCUCCAGAGACUCAGCGAAGUUGAAAUGUUUGUGAUGAUGCAAUCUCCCCGCGGAAAGACGGAAAGACCCCAUGAACCUUUACUGUAGCUUCACAUUGGACUUUGAACAGAUCUGUGUAGGAUAGGUGGGAGGCUUUGAAGCGGUGCCGCUAGGUGUCGUGGAGCCAACCUUGAAAUACCACCCUGGUGUGUUUGGGGUUCUAACCUUGACCCGUUAUCCGGGUUGGGGACAGUGUGUGGUGGGCAGUUUGACUGGGGCGGUCUCCUCCCAAAGUGUAACGGAGGAGUUCGAAGGUACGCUAGGCACGGUCGGAAAUCGUGCUGAUAGUGCAUUGGCAUAAGCGUGCUUGACUGCGAGACGGACAUGUCGAGCAGGUACGAAAGUAGGACAAAGUGAUCCGGUGGUUCUGUAUGGAAGGGCCAUCGCUCAACGGAUAAAAGGUACUCUGGGGAUAACAGGCUGAUACCGCCCAAGAGUUCAUAUCGACGGCGGUGUUUGGCACCUCGAUGUCGGCUCAUCUCAUCCUGGGGCUGUAGCCGGUCCCAAGGGUAUGGCUGUUCGCCAUUUAAAGAGGUACGUGAGCUGGGUUUAAAACGUCGUGAGACAGUUUGGUCCCUAUCUUCCGUGGGCGCUGCAAGAUUGAGAGAGCCUGCUCCUAGUACGAGAGGACCGGAGUGGACGCACCUCUGGUGCAUCGGUUGUCACGCCAGUGGCAUAGCCGAGUAGCUAAGUGCGGAAGAGAUAACCGCUGAAAGCAUCUAAGCGGGAAACUCGUCUCAAGAUGAGUCUUGCCGGGGCCUUGAGCCCCCUGAAGAGUCGUUCGAGACCAGGACGUUGAUAGGCCGGGUGUGGAAGCGCGGUAACGCGUUAAGCUGACCGGUACUAAUUGCUCGUGAGGCUUGACCCU
rnacentral:rRNA from 1 species